GACGAACGCUGGCGGCGUGCCUAACACAUGCAAGUCGAACGAGGUCCAUGGGAGCUUGCUCCCAGAAGACCAAGUGGCGAACGGGUGAGUAACACGUGAGAAACCUACCUUGGAGUGGGGAAUAACCCGAGGAAACUCGAGCUAAUACCGCAUACCUUCCUCAGGUCGCAUGGCCAGAGGAAGAAAGAAUUUCGCCCCAAGAGGGUCUCGCGACCUAUCAGCUAGUUGGUGAGGUAACGGCCCACCAAGGCAACGACGGGUAGCUGGUUUGAGAGAACGAUCAGCCACACUGGAACUGAGACACGGUCCAGACUCCUACGGGAGGCAG
rnacentral:rRNA from 1 species